UGGGGGAAUAUUGCGGCAAUGGGCGAAAGCCUGACGCAGCGACGCCGCGUGAGGGAUGAAGGUCUUCGGAUCGUAAACCUCUGUCAGAAGGGAAGAACGGCCACCGUGCUAAUCAGCGGUGGAAUGACGGUACCUUCAAAGGAAGCACCGGCUAACUCCGUGCCAGCAGCCGCGGUAAUACGGAGGGUGCAAGCGUUAAUCGGAAUUACUGGGCGUAAAGCGCAUGUAGGCUGUACGGCAAGUUGGAGGUGAAAUCCCACGGCUCAACCGUGGAACUGCCUUCAAAACUACCGAACUGGAGUGCGAGAGAGGAUAGCGGAAUUCCAGGUGUAGGAGUGAAAUCCGUAGAUAUCUGGAAGAACAUCAGUGGCGAAGGCGGCUAUCUGGCUCGUAACUGAC
rnacentral:rRNA from 1 species